rnacentral:rRNA from 1 species
UGUGUUAGUGGAAGCGUCUGGAAAGGCGCGCGAUACAGGGUGACAGCCCCGUACACAAAAGCGCAUGUGCUGUGAGCUCGAUGAGUAGGGCGGGACACGUGGUAUCCUGUCUGAAUAUGGGGGGACCAUCCUCCAAGGCUAAAUACUCCUGACUGACCGAUAGUGAACCAGUACCGUGAGGGAAAGGCGAAAAGAACCCCGGCGAGGGGAGUGAAAAAGAACCUGAAACCGUGUACGUACAAGCAGUGGGAGCACCCUUUGGGGUGUGACUGCGUACCUUUUGUAUAAUGGGUCAGCGACUUAUAUUCUGUAGCAAGGUUAACCGUAUAGGGGAGCCGGAGGGAAACCGAGUCUUAACCGGGCGUUAAGUUGCAGGGUAUAGACCCGAAACCCGGUGAUCUAGCCAUGGGCAGGUUGAAGGUUGGGUAACACUAACUGGAGGACCGAACCGACUAAUGUUGAAAAAUUAGCGGAUGACCUGUGGCUGGGGGUGAAAGGCCAAUCAAACCGGGAGAUAGCUGGUUCUCCCCGAAAGCUAUUUAGGUAGCGCCUCGUGAAUUCAUCUCCGGGGGUAGAGCACUGUUUCGGCUAGGGGGCCAUCCCGGCUUACCAACCCGAUGCAAACUGCGAAUACCGGAGAAUGUUAUCACGGGAGACACACGGCGGGUGCUAACGUCCGUCGUGAAGAGGGAAACAACCCAGACCGCCAGCUAAGGUCCCAAAGUCAUGGUUAAGUGGGAAACGAUGUGGGAAGGCCCAGACAGCCAGGAUGUUGGCUUAGAAGCAGCCAUCAUUUAAAGAAAGCGUAAUAGCUCACUGGUCGAGUCGGCCUGCGCGGAAGAUGUAACGGGGCUAAACCAU